GGCCGUGUAAGUCAGUGGUAGACAGUCACCCUCCUAAGGUGGAAGUCCAGGGUUCAAGCCCCUGCUCGGUCG
rnacentral:tRNA from 1 species